CCGUGGCGGGCGGCUAGAACACGUGCCCUGGAGCGGAAGCUCACGCGUCUUCACUGUUUGAUACGAGAAGAACGCUUUCCUUGCCUUUGGAACCGAACUCAGUCUCAUUCCAUUGGCGAGAGCAGGCAUAGCGCAGGAGGCCCCUGGUUGUGACCCAGCUCCGGAGGGUUGAUGACAGAAGCUCCGUAUUUGUUGCCUCGUUUGGGAAAUACAGACCUAUCUUUAAGCUCAUUGACUCCUUGGCUGUGACAAGUCUAUGGUUGAGUUCAUCCGAGUUGCUACCCUGGAAAGUGCAUGUGGAUUUAGCUUACUGACCUCUAAAGUCACUUGCUGCAUUUACCCUUCUUCAAAGUGUGGUGAUUGAGCAGGCUUUACAUCCACCUGGGCUUCCCCGAUGGCUCAGACAGGUGUUUACAACCAUGAACUUCCCUCCAAGCACUGCUUUCACUGAUUCCCAUAAGUUCCG